rnacentral:misc_RNA from 1 species
AUUUUCCUUUAGCUUCUGAGUCUCGGUGACGACGAGAUUCCUGAAGCCCAGGAAACUCGAAAACUGGAUAAUAACAAUUGAAUCGACUCUUUCAAAGACAACGGUAUUUGUGACUUUCGCAUUUCCGAGCUCUGUGGCCGUUGCUGAGAUCUCCGGCUGUUUUGAGCCCAUCAAAACGCGGAGGAGAUCCUUAGAGCUCUUGGAGUAAGACUUCGGCGAGCGAGCGAAGGAGGAGGAGGAGGAGGAGCUUUGGCCGCGAGGGCUGCGUGCGAGGAUGGUAGUGAGGCAGCGGGGAGCCUUGGUGCGGAAAGAGCAUCGCCUGCUGGAGGUCGAGUCUCCUCUCGACCUGGCCCUCUGAGGUCCAGGCCUGAGGACCUCCCGUGGCGUCCUCGGCGGGACGAGGGGCACCUGUGAUUGGGUCUACUGGCAGGACCUUUGCAAGGACCUUUUUGUUUUCUUCGGAGAGAUAGUGAAAGAGUCUUCAGGAUGGUGGGCCGACUGAUGGUUGAGGACGAAUACACGAUCAACGUGAAAGUGCGUCGCCCGCUGGGGGAGGAGGCGUGCCUGGCCCCGCCCACGAUCACCAUCACACCUGAAUCGUCCCUCAUCACCCUCACGCCGCCCGACAACUCUACCCUCACCUACGCCCACGCCUCCAAGAGUGUCAAUGGCUCGCCGCCCAUGGCAGUUGGCUGCAGCACUCUGCCCCGCAGCUCCGCCUCCUCGCGCGGUUCCUGGGCCACGCUGCCGCACCCGAGCCGCCUCGCCGCCGGCGCCAAGCCCAGCGGCAGCGGCCUCGAAGUGGCGCUCGCCAGCAAGGCGGACCCGCCCGCCAGCAACUACGUGGGCCUCUCCCUAAAUAAGAGCCUGGGGAAGCAAGUGUACGACGGCGAAGAGGCUCUGGCACUCCGGCAGCAGCAGAUCAUGCCGCCGCCGCCCCCUGAGCGCCGCGCGCCCCCAGGGCCGCUGCCACUGACGGCGCCGCUGUCGCCGUGCUCACCGGACCUGCCUCUGUCCCCUCCAGCCAGCGUGACGCACGGCUGCUUGCCGCUCCCCAUCAUCCAGGUCUUCGCCGACGACAGCAGUCACGUGGCCACUAACCGGUUCGUCGCGCCCCCGAAGGCAGUGUCCCCGCACGAGGGCGUGAGGCGGCAGGGCUCUCCUCGGCCCGUCGAUCGCGCGGCCAGCCACACUGCCGCAGGCUGCCUGUAUGUGCCGCGGAUUCCCGAGCACUGCAAGUCAGACAACGGCAUACUGUACGUGCCGCCCGUGGACGAGCAGAACCUGCGGCAGUCCAAGAAGGACGGGCCGCCGGCCAAAGGGAACUCGCGGCGCAAGAAGGCCAUCGAGGCCAGCCCAGACUCGCAGGGGCUGACGCCGACCGGGGCGCCCGCUCUCCUCCCCGGCAGGGAGCGCACCUCCCCAGACGUCUCGGCACGGUCGCCCCCGGACGCCGUGCCCCCGAGGACGGCCUCCUCCAAGGCUGCCGCUCGGGCCCUUCUGGCUGGCGUCUUGGGACCCCGGAUGGACCUCGCUUCGCCCGACGGCCGCGGCUGCAACGCGCUCAACAGCAACCGCAACUACUGCAACAUCGAGUUUCGAUCCCCGUCUCCCCGCCAGACCUUGCGUCAGAUUUGUUACAACAACGACGACGACGACGAAGACAGCGCCAACAACAACCGCAACAACCAGUACUUGACUGAGGAAUCCUACAACAACAGCCUGAACACCUACAAAAGCAACCGGACAUCCCCCUUCAGCAGCCCCGGCAAGCGUUCGCCAGAGCAAGAAGGUGAACGUGUCGUGGAAGUGUAUGGAGGGGUGACAAACCACGCCCACGCGCCGCCCACGACCGUGAGUGGGCGUAGCGGCCAUGUCGACCCGGCACACCCACAGCUGGUAGACCCCGCCCUCCUCACCUCGCUAGAUCUGGAGAGUGACCACGCCGCCCCCGCCCACGAGAUGUUGGUGACAGACGCCCCCCACUCAACGCGCCCGCAUGACCUCAACCACAACAACCACGCCUUCGGGCACAAGUCCUCAGAGGACCACGUGAGUGGGCGCGCAGCUAAGUACAUGGUGACGGAGUCGGGCGACCUGGCCGGCCACGACAACUAUGCCUUCGACCACGACAUCCUCUCGGGCCAGGACAACUACGGCUACGACCCCGGCUACAGCUCCGAGAGGUCCCCGGAGGACGAGGAGGGGCCGCCCCUCUACUGCUCUUCCUCCUCGCCCGCCUCCUCCUCCGCCACCGUCGCCGCCCAGCGAGAGAGGAGCCCCAGGGAACCGAGGGACCGCAACUCGCUGAAGGUGGCCCCGGGGGAGAUCAUUAACACCCUGGAGGUCAUGCGGCUGGUUCCCUUCAUCAGCGAAAGUACAACUUUCCAAGUGACGGUGAUCAAGAACCUCCGAGGCCUGGGCUUGGCCGUGACGGGCGGCAUCGAGUGCGACCUCCCGUACGCAGGCCUCAUACGCAUCAAGAAGCUCUACCCGCAGACGCCGGCCUGGCUCUGCGGUCAGCUGGAGGUGGGGGACAUUCUCCUGCAGGCCAAUGACAAUCCAUUAACAGGACUGACGAGUCACGAGGCAUUAGAAAUGCUCCGCACCGUCGGCCAGGAGGUGACUCUGGAGAUCUGCCGGCCGCCCCCUGGCACCAUGGGGGACGGCGAGGACCUCCCUGACGGCGGCAACACUCUCGGCGUCGUGAGCACCAGCCUCACCACGCCAAACACUAGUCACAACUACCUCUCCCCAUCGCCUUCCUUCUCCUCGUGUGGGGAGUUCGAGGUGCAGCUAACCAAAGUUGCAGGUUCCUUAGGCUUUACACUGCGCAAACAAGACAACAGUAUCUUGGGGCACACCAUUCGGAGUCUGGUCAAGGAGCCUGCAAUUUCAGAUGGCAGAUUACGACCCGGAGAUAAGAUUAUCUCAGUCAACAACACCGAUAUGUGUAGCCUGAGUCAUGAAGAAGCGAUAGGUUUCUUACGCACAUGUCCUGAGACUGUUACUCUUAGAUUGUAUAGGGAUGCCAUGCAAACGCCAGUGUCGCCAGUCUCCCCCACGGAACCUGACAUCCUCGCGAAGCCUAAGCCUCUGCGCAAAGAAGCCAGGGACAUGCUCAGUGACUUGGCUUUCAGAAAGCAGUCUCCCAGCAAUUCGCCUAGCUUAGCUGGGGCCUCGGGAUCCCCGGGGACACCCAGAAGACGUAGGCUCCAGAAGACCCCGAGUCCAGAUAUCAAGAGUGUAGUCAUAGAUAGAUGGGACUCGUUGGUGAGAAAAACCGAAGAAUCUCUGCCUGGUACUCCAACUCUCGAAAAGAAAACGUCGCUCAACAGCAUACGAGAGACGGAGCACGAGGCCUCCCCGUUCGGCGACAGCCAGACGGACGACUCCCUCUCCACCACCAUCCGCUCACGAAACUCGUCCGCGUCGUCGUCCUCGCUCACCGCCUCAAACUCCGAGUCGAGACCGAAGAGACCCAGCUUCCUCGACCUGAGCAACGGGCGUGGCUGUCCCCGCAAGACACAGUUCACGCCCCCGCACGAGGUAGACCGGUCGUUUCCAUCCCCGCUCGGAGAUGGUGACAAUAGAGCUUAACCGCGGAUGGAACAGUCGUCUAGGCUUUUCGUUGCAACCAAAGGGGGAGAACACUGUUAUCAAGGCCAUAUAUGCAGACAGUGUUGCAGCCAAAGAUGGACGACUGAAAAUGGGGGAUAUUGUUGUAAAGGUGAAUGGCAUUGACGUGGUAGGAUGGGAAACUGAAUCUGUAAUUGAUCUGCUUCGUAAGACAAGAGGGAAAAUUUCGGUCACUGUUCUUCAACCACUAAGUUGAACCCAAGCCUACUAAUGGUAGAGACACCUGAAAAAUCGUCUCAAGAUGCCUGUCUUCAGCUCUUUUCGAAGAUUGUUGCAUUUGCUCCUUCAGUUAUCUUGUUCCUGAUCCACGAAUAUGUAUCAAAGGAUCAGCUUAACCUAAGGCUUCAGUUGUUCAGAUCUAAUUUCAAGGCAGCUAAGGCUUCUAUUUACUAAUUCUUAAUACUGUGUUAUUAACGAAUUUUAAAAGUUCAUCUCAUUUCUCUAUCUCUAGACUAAGAAGUCGAAUACCCUCUUGCCAUUAUUGAAGCUUUGCCUCUUUAGCUCUGUUAUUCUCGAAUCUUCUUGCAUGAACGUUAUAUUGCUCAUUAAUAGGCGUCACGGCCCCUCGAACCCAAUGCUAAGUGAUGUAAACCUGGUCAGCCAGCAGGAGAGAGUUCUAGUUAUGAGAGUUGCCAAUAGUUCUUGCAGAAGGUCGUGUCGCAUAUAUAUUGUGUACAAAUGUUCCAUUUAAACAUAUAUUUAAAAAAUAUGAAGCUUUUAUCUAUGAUGUAGGCAGUAUUUAUGCAGUGACCUUUUAAAGCUUUAUGCCAGAUACUUGUUAGCUAUUACUGCUGCACUUCUCUUUUAGUGUAGUUUUAAAACUCACAGUAAAAAUACAAAAAAAUGUAUAUUAUCCCAACAUAGAGCUGCAUAUGUUUAAUUGUUUUUACCAUUGUUGUUAUUUAAUUUUUGCCAGUUGUAAACUAAUGUGUUUACUUGUUUAUGACAAUGACUGUGAGUACUCAAGACUUAGUGAGAGCAGGGCCUCACUUGGGACUCCCUGUGUAAUAGACAAGCUUGUGCCAAAGAUAAUAACUGUAUAACAAUGUACGGUAAAGAGCAGUCAAAGUCAGCUGAUUUUAAAACAACAUUUAAUCAUCAGUACUUACGUGCCAUUCAUUGAAUGAUAUUCGAAGUCAACAUUCCAAUAGAGAACUUAAUCUAAUUUGUUUGCCUCUUGACUGAGGAGCCAAUUGUCUUUCACCUUCAUCCCCUAUGACACAGUCAAGAUACAUUAGAGUUUAGAUACUCCAGGAAAAGGAUAGUUUUUGCGGGUAGCGGAACUCUCCUGCUAAAGAUGGCAUCUAAUUGUUAAUUUAUUAUGGAUGUGUCAUGUAACCUGAACCAUCCGUUAUAGGAAGGUCAUGAUUGUGUUAUAAAAUGUUAUAAAACUGUAUUUUAGAACUGUCACCAAGUCUGUAUAUAUAAAUAAAUAAAAUAUAUUUCCUGUAUUA